rnacentral:rRNA from 1 species
UUUAAUUGGACUCAACGCCGGACAUCUCACCAGCUCCGACUACAGUGAUGACGACCAGGUUGAUGACCUCAUCACGACGCUGUAGAGAGGAGGUGCAUGGCCGCCGUCAGCUCGUACCGUGAGGCGUCCUGUUAAGUCAGGCAACGAGCGAGACCCGCACCCCUAAUUGCCAGCAACAGUUUCGACUGGUUGGGUACAUUAGGAGGACUGCCAGUGUUAAACUGGAGGAAGGAACGGGCAACGGUAGGUCAGUAUGCCCCGAAUGAGCUGGGCAACACGCGGGCUACAAUGGCUAAGACAAUGGGUCGCUAUCUCGACAGAGAACGCUAAUCUCGAAACUUACUCAUAGUUCGGAUUGAGGGCUGAAACUCGCCCUCAUGAAGCUGGAUUCCGUAGUAGCCGCCUUUCAGUAGAAGGCGACGAAUACGUCCCUGCUCCUUGCACACACCGCC